rnacentral:rRNA from 1 species
AUUGAACGCUGGCGGCAGGCCUAACACAUGCAAGUCGAGCGAGCGGCGGACGGGUGAGUAAUGUAUGGGGACUGCCCGAUAGAGGGGGAUAACUACUGGAAACGGUAGCUAAUACCGCAUACUAUCGGAUAACCCAUAUGGGAUUGUCUAGUAGGUGAGGUAAUGGCUCACCUAGGCGACGAUCCCUUGCUGGUCUGUGAGGAUGAUCAGCCACAGUGUGGCUGAGACCCGGCCCGGGUGCCUACGUAAGCAGCAGUGGGGAAUUUUGCACGAUGGGCGCAAGCCUGAUACAGCCAUGCCGCGGGUAUGAAGAAGGCCCUAGGGUUGUAAAGUACUUUCAGUCGGGAGGCGGGAGCGACAGAAGAAGCACAGGCUAACUCCGUGCCAGCAGCCGCGGUAAUAC